rfam:Alligator mississippiensis ScZkoYb_58, whole genome shotgun sequence.
GGGGAUGUAGCUUAGUGGUAGAGUGCAUGCUUUGUAUGUAUGAGGUCUUGGGUUCAAUCCCCAGCACCUCCA